GGCGGGGUCGGCGACGCGGUCGCGGAGCCAUCCGUUGUAGUCGGAGAGCUGGUACUCGAGGAACCGCCGGUUCAUCACCACCUGGCCGUCGCCGCGGUCGGUGACGGCGAAGGCGAAGACGAUGAAGAAGAGGAGGGCGACGACGAUGAAGAACAUGGCGAAGAGGUAGAGGCGGAGCAGCCACGUCUGGCGGUAGCACGCCCCCGC
rnacentral:misc_RNA from 1 species